AAGGAUUGGUAAAAGACCAAAAGGUCCUUUUACCAACUCAAUUUCCACCUAGGACACUACACCGAAUUUUUCAAAGAAUUUAAAAAUUAAACGAAUUUUAUGCGUAUUAUAUCCAUACUGAAUUUUUGCCGAAUCCGAAUUAACUAUGAUAUAUAGUCAAAAUUCAUACCCGAAUUCAAAUCCGUCGGAUUUUUAUUUUUAAUAUUUGUAUCCGAAACUAUAUCCGUUUAGUAUGGGAUAAAUUUGCUUCGUUCGGAUUCAGAUUCGGAUAAAAUUUUGCAUAUCCAUAACUAUUGACAUCCCUAAUCUUAUACAUCUGAA
rnacentral:lncRNA from 1 species